UACGUAGGUGGCAAGCGUUGUCCGGAUUUACUGGGCGUAAAGAGCGCGCAGGCGGUCGUUCAAGUCGCGUGUGAAAGCCCCCGGCUCAACUGGGGAGGGUCAUUCGAUACUGAUCGACUCGAAGGCAGGAGAGGGUAGUGGAAUUCCCGGUGUAGUGGUGAAAUGCGUAGAUAUCGGGAGGAACACCAGUGGCGAAGGCGGCGACCUGGGCCAAUAUUGACGCUGAGGUGCGAAAGCGUGGGGAGCAAACAGG
rnacentral:rRNA from 1 species